CACCUGUUUAGCCACACAGGUGUCUCCAGUUAUUGUGGCUGAUUAGGCCUGUGCUCAGGUUGAAGGUUGAAGCUAAUGGCAAAGCUUCGUGAACCAAAAUAAAUGGGUGUGUCCUGCGAUGUUACAUUUCCAUUGUGUUAUAGCCAACAUCAGCUGGUCGACUUGUUGGUUGUGCUCUAAGGCGUUCCUCAGGGCGUCCUCAGUGCUGAGCAGCCGCUGGCGCAGACGGGUCACCUCCGAGUCCAGAGCCGAGGGGUCUAGCAUCGAGUACCGCCGGUGGUCGGGGGAGGAUCGUUCCCGACCCUGAAAGAACCGCACAAGCUAACUGCAUCAUCGUGAACCCAAAACUGUCUUUACAGCAGACCAACAUGGACUGAAAAGCACCUGAGAAUCUAGGAGUCAGCCCCUCGUUUAGGAAUAAGGUCCUCGAUUUGUUUUGACUGGUCCUUCUGUUUGGAUCUACCUGGUUCUGCCUGAUCUUCACUGGCCAUGCUGGUAUUCUCUGUGCCUGCAUCCACGUGGUGACUGUGGAAGACCCUGCAACAGACUGUCAUUCCAAAGAAACAAAGGUGACGUGACGAAGAGCGGAAAUCAGCCCAUAAGAAAAGGAAAACGGAGAAAUCUGUGCAGGUCCUGGAGAUGACCAAGUGCAUUGCAGAGGAUUUACAGUACAACCAAGUGACAUAAAGUAUGUGGACAGCAACAGAUUGUUCAACAGUUUGGCUCCCAGUGAAGAUGAUACAAUGACUCUCACAGUAUUUUUCCUCAUUGGUAUUUUUGGAAAAGUUAUAACACAUAACUGCAAACAAAGUUUGGUUGUGUGCAUACAGGGUGUAAUUUGUUGGGAUUUACUGCAGCUAAAACGUACAGCCAGGCAGAAUUAUGUCCUAACUAAUUCACCAUUAAAUCAAAAACCAUAUCUGAUUUCAAUCUGGCUUAUUUCACUUUUGGUCUCAACUCUUUGGAUAGCGCUGGACCACGUCCAGUGUGGCUGCAAGUUUUGAAAUGCUCUGCUCUAACCAUGCUGUACGUGCCAGACCGCCCCAAACAUGUCAAAUCAGCCGCCCAUCAAAUUGAAUUUUAUUUUGUAGAAGAGGCGAGGCAGAUUUAGAGAUUAGGGUGGAUGAUGCACGAAUUUUGCAUUGUUGUGGGCUGCGUGCAAGAAGACAAUGCAUGAGGUGCGCCUCCCUUCAGGUCGUUUAUGCUGAAUGUUCUACCUCAGACACGGCGGAAAGUUAUAGUAAAAUUCUGCAACAACAAAAAAAAAAAGGAUAAACACGUCCCGGUCACGUUCCCAACCUGAUGUGAUGCUUUCAGGCUUGGAUACUGCAAGCCUGGAUACUUACUUUUUAAAACCUAAAGGUUUUAGUUGCAUCACUUAAUAUUUAGGAAGAUACCCUUGAUUUUUAGAGGGUUAGGGUUUUUUUUAUACUUCCACUUGCCUCACUGAAAAGUAUCUAUUGGUCCAGCCAUUGUUUUGUGACAAACAUUUUCAGGAGUUGGUAAAAACAAAAAUAAAGUCCAAAAGAGAGCGAAUACCGGCAAGACUUAUAAAUAAGUCAAUUGAAUGCUAUUCCUUUCAUUUAAACCACUUCUUAAGCCCUUUUGACGAAGCUUCAUGUUCUUAUUUUGGUGCAGAUAGCUUCACAGAGCUGACUGGAGCAGCACAGUCGCUCAGGGCUAAACUGACAUUUUGUCAGAAAUAACAUGAAGCCAACAUACAGCAGAGGAAAAACACAUUAUACAAACACAGAACAGAAGUUAACUCCCUAUCCUGCUGAGGGCAUUUGAGAUUUUCACAACAUAAAUAUGAGUGAUGCAACACCCACAAGCUCCUCAAGAUUCCCAUUAAUAUUGAGAUGUCUGGUAACACUUUAAUGAUGAUGAAUAUCAAAGCAGGAAACUGUGGAACAUGUGGACAUAAAAUCUUAAUGUAUGAAAAUACUGUUGGGAACUUUGUGUUAAUAUAUUUAUUUAGUGUAAUUAAUAUAAGUGAAAUAUCUUUAAUAAAUUAGGCUGGGGCAUUAGCGAGCGUUGCUUAUUAAUGAAUCUGCCAAUAGUCGCUCGGUUUUUAAUCAUUUUUUUUGUCUCCGACCAUCUCCGUCAGGAAAGACUGGGCUUUUUAAAAGUGCUGAACACAGUUUGCCAUCAGUAGCUGACACGCCCGUCUACUUAUCAGAACUUACUUCUCUAAUAAUAGCUGCCUCGCUCUGCUUGAGGCCGAAAAACCAAAAAUAAUGACCAAGGAGGCACUGAAAUGCCGAGCAUAGGGGACAGACAGCUGGGUAAUAAUUCUGUGUGGGUUAUGCAACCACUUGCAGGGUCAUUUAAUCUGUUGUUUAUAUUAAAAUAUUGACUAAGAGAGCUUUAAGUCUUCUACAGAUGGCGGAUGGAUUUCGCUAUCCUUUUUUCCCCUUUUCCCUGGCUGUUCAUAACUGCAGUCGCUCAUAAUUUUAGAGGAACACCAUCAAAACACUGGCACCGGUCAGGGUUUGCAUUUCACUCGGGAUCAAAGUCCAAAUAAACCACCAGAAUUAUUACGCUGCCCUCAUAAUAACGCGGAAAGCCUGCACUUAAACGCUAAAGCCAUUGUAUCAUUUCCAUCCAAAAUAAUUAAAGCGAGGAGCCAAAAGGAUCAACGUGUCGCUGUCCAAACAUUUGUGCAGCUCAGUGUGCAAAAAAAAGGUGGAAAAUGAAAGGAGAGCGCAGCCAUUCUGAUCAUCUAGAAGCAGCCAAGCAAAUAUAAUACAGCAAACCUCAACAGUGACAUAUGCACAGCUGCAAACAUCCUCCACACAUUUGUUUCCAAUCAGAAUGAAAAAGAAAAACAGCCAAAAAAACAAACUGAGAUUAAGAUGGAGGACCUGCUGCACAGUGCACAGAUGUUAAUUUCAACCCAGAUCCCAGCUGACCAGACCAGAGUUACUAGCUGAUUCACAUCAGAGACGCUGCCUGAGUGGCAUUCAGAUGACGUCGCACGCACACAGACACACACGCACGCACACAGAGGAGUAAAAGAGUCUAUGCAAGGUUAAUGUCCUCAACAGCAUCUGAAGUCGAUUUGAAGUCAGGAAUUGAGAUAGCUCAAGAGAGGAUCAAAGCCAAAACAAGAUCAAAU